CAGAUUUGGUUCUGGUUUCUAUUAUAAAGCUAUUGUUGAUGAUACAUGCAAAUCGUGUUGGCUAGUGAGGACAUAAAUACAUAGAAAUUUAAAAUUUCUUGCGCUUGUAGUAUAGAACGAUUUUAUACUUAGUAAGACCACUCCAUAUAGGUAAAUAGCAGUACUUAAUUUUGGCCAGACGCGAGAGCGUGCGUCAGCUAGUAAUAUUACAGUGUGGCUAAUACUGUGCCAGCUGCCGCGGUUACACCCUAACAUUAAUUUAUAGUAUUCAGUAUUGCAAAUGACAAGUGUAUAAUAUGAGUCGGGGAAAAGCUGCGGUCGAAUGCGCUUAAUCUGAAGUCUCUUAUUGUUUAUUUGCACGGUUAAAGGGGAGAAACCAGGAUUAGAUACCCUGUUAUUCCUUUACAGUUAAUUUGUGGUGAGUAUAGAUGUUGUCUAAAAACCAAAGAUUUUGGCAGUGGCUAAGGCCUGCUCAGAGGAAUUUGUUCCGUUAUCGACACUCCGCGAGGAUCUUACUUCACUUUGUAUUCAGCUUAUAUACCGCCGUCGUCAGUUAAUACCUUUUAGGUUUAAGAAAUUAACAAAAAGAUGUAGUUCUUAACGUCAGGUCAGGGUGUAGCUAAUAGUGAAGGGUAGAAUGAAUUACAAUUAUCUUAAGUUAACGAAUAUCCCUUAGCACUGGUGAUUGAAGUUGGAUUUGGUAGUAAUGGGGCAAUAGUAUGGCCAAUUGAUUAAAGCUCUUAGCUAUGCACACACCGCCCGUCAUUUUCCUGAACCAAUAAAGGAAAGAAGUCGUAACAAGGUAGGGUAUCCGGAAGGAUCCCCUGGAUAAU
rnacentral:rRNA from 1 species